rnacentral:rRNA from 1 species
UACGUAGGGGGCAAGCGUUGUCCGGAAUCAUUGGGCGUAAAGCGCGUGUAGGCGGGUCGGUAAGUCUGCUCUGAAAGUCCAAGGCUCAACCUUGGGAUGCGGGUGGAUACUGCCGACCUCGAGUCCGGAAGAGGCGAGUGGAAUUCCUGGUGUAGCGGUGAAAUGCGCAGAUAUCGAGGAGGAACACCAAUAGGCGAAGGCAGCUCUCUGGUACGUGACUGACACUGAGACGCGAAAGCG